GUGAAGGUCAGGGGGCACAGGUGAGGGGACCCAAGUCAGGGUCAGCAGCUGAGGGGUCACAACUGAGGGGUUACAGGUGAAGGUCACAGGUGGGGGUCACACAUGAGAGGACCAGGUCAGGGGUCAGAGGUGAGGUAGUCACAGGUGAAAGUCACAGGUGAGGGGGUCACAGGUGAAGGGUCACAGGUGAGGUAGUCACAGGUGAGAGGACCCAGGUCAGGGGUCACAGGUGAGGGGUCAGCAGGUGGCAGAGGCUCAUUAGGGCUCAUUAGUGCUCAUUAGCAGGGAGGAGCUCUGGGGUCAGGAGGUGGCAGGGACUCAUUAGGCUCAUUAGUGCUAAUUAGGGCUCGUUAGGCUCAUUAGCAGGAAGGAGCCCCGAUCUUGGGGCGCUGGGGACUCGUUAGGGCGAUGGGCAGCUCAUUAAUGCUCAUUAACUGAUGAGGGCUCGUUAAGGUUUAUUGGGUGCUGGGGGACCCCAAGGUGGAGGUUAAUGAGGUCAGAGGUUAACGAGGCGGGCAGGGCUAAUGAGGUUAAUGAAAGGUAAACACGGUUAAUGAAGGGUUAACGGGGCUAACGGUUAACUCGUUAACGAGGGGUUAAUUAGGGUAAUUAGGGGCUGAUGGGACCCCCCUCCCCCCCCUCGGGCUCCCCUCCCCCGCCGGAUGUACAGAUUUUGUAGGGGGGGGAGGGGCCGGACGCGUUUUGGGGUGAAUAAAGGCGGAUUUGGUAAA